UUAAACCUGGAUUUGUUAAUUUGGUCUGAUUGGCUUAUUGCAUCACCAGCAGUGGGUAUCCAUUAACCGGGAUUUUUAAACAGGUGAGAUGAUGAGAGUUUCUUCUGAAGACCUCUUAUUCAGUGACAAAGCACUAUCAUAAGACUGGAGGUGAGAGUAAAAUCAGCAGGAGAGGAGACUAAGAGUUUGAAGUGGCUGAGGAUGCACCAAGAUUACGAGUGAAUGCUGACAAGAUUGGAGUUUCUAUGUGAGCCCUGAUACAACUACAUUUUCAUUCCACCUGACCAUCUGACUUUCCCUGCAACAAGGCUUAGCCAUUACCAGAUAAGUCAUCGCCACAAGACUGUGUCGACAUGAGAAACGCUGUGUGAGCAUCUGUGGGCAAGUGGAGACCACAAGUUGACCAGACUGAAACAGUGGCGUUGUGAGGAGGUUCCACCUAGCAGGUGGAGAAACGGGGAUAACAACAGCAACCUGCUUGAAGAGAAAGAGCGAGCCGAGACUUCAGCUGGGAAGAAGCGAGAGACGGAGGCCCCAGGAGCAGGAAGAAGGCUGCAUACAGUGUGUGGAACUCAACUGUGGCAGAGACUUUGAAAGAAGGCCUUAAGCACCUUCAUUUCUUCAUUUCUCAUCAACUACCCUUGAGCACCUAGCUGUGAUACCUUACAAGGACUUCAAGCACCAUGAGUUUGCCCAGCUAAUUUUCUCCGACUAAGUACCUCCUGAAAACUAGUUAAGGAGGGAAGUGUUUACUCUGGAUUACAGUUUGGAAAUAUCAUCCAUCAUGGUGGAAAGAUCAUGGGGCAGCUGGUCACACAGUAUCUGCAAUUAAGAAAAAAGGAGAGAGAUGGACGCUGGAGCUCACUUCUCUGUCUUCCUUCGAUUCAGUCCAGGACCUCAGUCUAUGGCAUGGCACUGCCUGCAUUCAGGGUUGAAAUCCCCUGCUCUCUUAAACCUUUCUGGACACAUACAUACAGAGACAGAGGUGAGCACACACACACACACA